UGUUCGAGACCUUCGGGGUGGCGUUUAUUUGACCUUAAACCAAACCUUUUCGGUAACCGGUCAUUCAUUAUUAACUUGCGAAUCGCAUUUUUUUGCGAUGUAUCAUUCAAGUUUCUCACCUAUCAGCUUUGGACGGUUGGGUAUUGGCCUACCGGGGCAGCGACGGGUAACGGGGAAUUUGGGUUCGAUUCCGGAGAGGGAGCCUCAGAAACGGCUACCACAUCUAAGGAAGGCAGCAGGCGCGCAAAUUACCCAAUCCUCACACAGGGAGGUAGUGACAAGAAAUUACAAUACGGGGCUUUAUGUCUUGUUAUUGGAAUCAUGGGAAUUUUUACCUCUUCCAGAGUAUCAAUUGGAGGGCAAGUCUGGUGCCAGCAGCCGCGGUUAUUCCAGCUCCAAUUGCGUAUAUUUAAAUUGUUGCAGUUUAAAAGCUCGUUGUUCAAUUUCUGCUGCAUUUCAUUUCUCUUUCUCAGUUUUGUUUUUGCGGCUUAUUUCGGUUUCAUUUUUUCUUUCCGGAUCAUUAGGCUUUCAGAAAAUUUCAGUGCUCAAAGCAGGCUUUUGCCUUCAAUUGUUUUGCAUGGAAUUAUUAAGUUGGACUUUGGUUCUAUUUUGUUGGUUUUUGGUACCAAAGUUAUGGUUAAUAGGAACAGUUGGGGGCAUUCGUAUUUUACUGUCAGAGGUGAAAUUCUUAGAUUUGUUAAAGACGAACUACUGCGAAAGCAUUUGCCAAGGAUGUUUUCAUUUAAUCAAGAACGAAAGUUU
rnacentral:rRNA from 1 species